rnacentral:rRNA from 1 species
UACGUAGGGGGCAAGCGUUGUCCGGAUUUAUUGGGCGUAAAGAGCGUGUAGGCGGCCAUACAGGUCCGUUGUGAAAACUGGAGGCUCAACCUUCAGAGGUCGACCGAAACCAUCUGGCUAGAGUCCGGGAGAGGAGAGUGGAAUUCCUGGUGUAGCGGUGAAAUGCGCAGAUAUCAGGAAGAACACCCGUGGCGAAAGCGGCUCUCUGGAACGGUACUGACGCUGAGACGCGAAAGCGUGGGGAGCGAACAGG